CUAUAAAAGGUUACACCCAACUCCCCUGCUCUACUUGACAUUGAAGUUGAUGAUUGCCUGAAAGACUGCAUAGCCUGGAUCCUGUGUUAAAACCUGUGGACGUACCUUAUUGGCUUCAAAACCUGCUUUACUCACUAACCUGCUCCAUACCAGCCUGAACACCUCUACAUUCCUGCUUGACUUCCAACUGGCUUAAUUCUAUACUGGGCUUUAAUGUGUUAUUACUUUGUGGCUACCUGCGUUACUCCUACAUUCCAGAUAAUAUUGGCAUCUACGAUAAAAGACCUGUUACUACAGUACAACCUCUAAUCCACAGAGACUGAACAGCUACAAACCAAUAUAAGUAACCUUUUAUAUUUCUGUUUAGUUAUGUUUUCCUGUAACUUAUUAUCUCCUUAAUAGGCUUUAAUUCUCUUGCUUUAUUUUUCACAGGUUUACCUGUUUCUUUAUAUCCUGUUCUGGGGCAUAUUGCCUAAGUCCUCUUUUCUGUUUCCCUCCAGUUUGUACCUGUAAUUUCUCUAAUCUUCAAUCUCCUACCAAUAACUUCAUUUAUAGGUUUACCUUUUUAACACUUUUGGGCUUAUUGUCUAAACCCUUUAUUUCAUAGCCUAGUUACUAGUUACAGAUAUUCGGUUCUGUCUCCUAUCUCUCUCUCUUUCCUAUAACUUCAGUUAUAGGAUUUCUUGUUAAUACUAUAAUAUCUAAGAUCUCAAAGACCUUGACGUUAACCCCAGUUUCAGUCUCAUCCCUGACCUGCACAAGAUCAUGACACUCGGGAGACUUCGCUGAACACAAAUAUUUGUUUCAAAACAGUAAAACUUAUUACAACAAUGGUACCAUCAGUAAAAAUGCUGUUUUGUGUGUGAAAAAUGCAAAACACUUCACUUUCACUGACCAUAUCAUUGCUGUGAUGUUUUGAAACCCUAUUAUUUGUGUUUAGCGAAAUCCCCUGGAGUAUAGGGUUUGGGGUGUCUUGGAAAGUUACAGGGUUAAAUACAGUGCUAGCAAAUUACAUUAUCUGGACUUUUGGCCUGGGUUGUCAGGGAGGUCCCUCAAAUUGCAAUCAAUAAACGAAUUAUGUAAAACUAUUACAUAAACAAGCACUUAGAAUUUAAAUAUAUAUACAUAUUUAUUAAGAUAUCUUGUAUAUCUGACGUCUACGUUUAAAUUUAUGAAAUUAUUCAUGUAAUUAUGUAUCUAGGUGUAUUUUGAUAUAAUUAUAUUAUUUUUUUUAUACAUAUAUAUAUAUAUACGUGUGUAAUUUUACUCAGUAUUUUUUAGCCUCAACUUUUUUUUUUUUUUUUUUUAUUGAAAUUAUUGUUUAAAGUUGACAAACAUUUAACAAGCAUGUUAAGCACGAUAAAUAUGACAAUAUAUAACAAGACAAUUUGCUUACUUUAAAAUAAGGUAUAUUACAUAGUUAGGCAAGAUUUAAAUUAAUUUAUCAUUAUAGUAAUUAUAAAGUUUAUGACCUUAAACUGUGUCUUUUAUCUUUCGGAUCCACUGUACAUAAUGAUGUAUGUGUUCAAAGGACCACUCUAGGCACCCAGACCACUUCAGUUUAAUGAAGUGGUCUGGGUGCCAGGUCCAGCUAGGGUAACCCAUUUUUUCAUAAACAUAAUCGUUUCAGAGAAACUGCUAUGUUUAUGAAUGGGUUAAGCCUUCCCCCUAUUUCCUCUAGUGGCUGUCUCAUUGACAGCCACUAGAGGCGCUUGCGUGCUUCUCACUGUGAUUUUUCACAGUGAGAGCACGCCAGCGUCCAUAGGAAAGCGUUAUGAAUGCUUUCCUAUGUGACCAGCUGAAUGAGCGCGCAGCUCUUGCCGCGCGUGCGCAUUCAGCCAACGGAGAGGAGGCAGAGAGCUCCCCGCCCAGCGAUGGAAAAAGGUACGUUUUUAACCCCUUUCUCCCUUCCAGAGCCGGGCGGGAGGGGGACCCUGAGGGUGGGGGCACCCUCAGGGCGCUAUAGUGCCAGGAAAACAAAUGUUUUCCUGGCACUAUAGUGGUCCUUUAAGAUUGUUAUUAGAAUAAGCGACCCCUCUCUCCAUUUCUAACUAAUAUAUAAGUUGUUUUAUUAAAUAAUAAAAUAUCUGGAGUUGAUGUCUGUUUUCACACUCUUGCUAUUUACAUUUUUUUUUUUUUUCCCCCCAUUUCUGCAAAACUAGUAAAGUCAGAAUUUGUAGCAUUUUUGGUAAAUUGUUCCAAUUGAUAUGAAGCAAGCCAUUUUCUGGGGAUUUCUUUAAUUUUAUAUUAAAGAGAGACAAAAUAUGAUCUAUUGAAUCCCAGAAUGUUAUUAUUUUUGGGCAAUUCCACCAGAUACAAAGCAUAGUUCCUUCGUGGGCUAGACAUCUAGGUUUUUACGAUUUCCUUCAUUCUUAAUAAGAGAAUAUUUAAGGAACCCUCUCACUCUCAGAUAGUUAAAGAUUUCUUUAUCAGAUAUAUUUAAUUUUGUUUUCAAAUCUUGGAAAGAGAAUAAUUUAGCAUCUUGUAUAAGAUCUUCUUCUAUAUAAAUUUCUUUAGGGACCCUCCAGGUACUGAGAUUUAAGUCAGGGAUGAUUAUUUUUUUUUUUUUUUGCCAUUCUUCCAUAAGAUGAAGUACAGUAAAUUAAUUUUGUUGCAAGGAGUCUUUAAAGUUAGUAACCUCAUCCCAAAUAAGAAGGGAAAAAUCCUUUUCAUUAGUUCUAAAAGACUCAAUUCUAUACCAGGCUUGCUUUCUGGCCUCUUGAAUAUUAAAUUUAUGAAUAUGAAUGAUUAUGUUUGCUUUAUAUAUUUCUCUGAUUAAUGGGAGAGCCAUACCUCCUUUGUUGACUUUUUUUUUUUCUUAAAUUUGCGAUUUAAUUCUUUUCCAGAUGUAGUUGGAGAAAGAAUGAUGGAGCAUAUCCAGCCAUGGUUUAGGGAAUUUUAAUGGGAUCAUGUUAAAUAAAUAUGCCCAUUUGGGCAAUAAAAUUUAAUUUAACAAAAAAAAUACUUAGUAUGAUGUUUUAUAUUUAUAGAUAUA